UACGGAGGGUGCAAGCGUUAUCCGGAUUCACUGGGUUUAAAGGGGGCGUAGGCGGGCAGGUAAGUCAGUGGUGAAAUCCCCGAGCUUAACUUGGGAACUGCCGUUGAUACUAUCUGUCUUGAAUAUCGUGGAGGUGAGCGGAAUAUGUCAUGUAGCGGUGAAAUGCUUAGAUAUGACAUAGAACACCAAUUGCGAAGGCAGCUCGCUACACGAAUAUUGACUCUGAGGCACGAAAGCGUGGGGAUCAAACAGG
rnacentral:rRNA from 1 species